rnacentral:lncRNA from 1 species
AUAUUUAACGCUCCUAUGGCGCACCAAAUUUUAAUACUCGUCAAAAUUAAAUUUACUAUCUUAUGUAAGGAAAAAUUUACUAUCAUAAAUUAAAAUUCAAAUUAUCAAAUUCGCGGGUAUUAAAUUUUAGCGGGUAUUACAAAUUUAAAAUUUAAUUUUGAAUACUACGUGUUGGCAGGUAUUAUAUUUGAGAAGAAAAAAUAUUUGAGAAAAUGCGUGGAUAUGAAAUAAAUUUAAUUUUACAUAUUACGUGAUUAGUGAAGGUAUUAUGUGAUUGGCUGGUAUUACGUUAGAUAAGAGAUAAAUUUAGUUUUACGUAUUAAAUGAUUGGUGGGGAGAAAAAAAAUAUUUGAGAAACGCAGCGUAGAUAGGAGAUAACGGGUAUGAAGGGUAUUUUUGUCAACAAAAAUGACAGAUACUUUUAUUUUUAUUCGUUGGAUGAGAUCUAAUGGCGAAAACUUAAAAUCUAUAUUUGAGAAUAAACUAUUAUUUAAAGAUUUAUUUAAAAUGGAUGGUUGAAAAUUACUGGACAUGACAAUAUUAGUAAAAAAGAUAGAGAUAUUUUUGGAAAGAAAAAAAAU